UAUCUGCCCUAUUUAAAGAUUCGAACCUGCAGCAGGUUCGAGUCGAACGCAGUGAGACAACGGAGCCGCUUGCGGCGACGGCCCGAAGGGCGAGCAAAGCGGUCACCCUGCACGACCCACCA
rnacentral:sRNA from 1 species